CCUACGGGUGGCAGCAGUGGGGAAUAUUGGGCAAUGGGCGCAACCCUGACCCAGCAACGCCGCGUGAAGGAAGAAGGAUUUCGGGUUGUAAACUUCUUUUCUCAGGGACGAAAAAAGUGACGGUACCUGAGGAAUAAGCCACGGCUAACUACGUGCCAGCAGCCGCGGUAAUACGUAGGUGGCAAGCGUUAUCCGGAUUUACUGGGUGUAAAGGGCGCGUAGGCGGGUGCGCAAGUCAGAUGUGAAAACUCAGGGCUCAACCCUGAGCCUGCAUUGGAAACUGUGUGUCUUGAGUGCAGGAGAGGCAAUCGGAAUUCCGUGUGUAGCGGUGAAAUGCGUAGAUAUACGGAGGAACACCAGUGGCGAAGGCGGAUUGCUGGACAGUAACUGACGCUGAGGCGCGAAAGCGUGGGGAGCAAACAGGAUUAGAUACCCUUGUAGUC
rnacentral:rRNA from 1 species